rnacentral:lncRNA from 12 species
CACGCCCCUUAGCAACCAGCCCGCCCUGUUCAGCCACGCCCCUUAGCAACCAGCCCGCCCUGUUCAGCCACGCCCCUUAGCAACCAGCCCACCCUGUUCCGGUCACGCCCCUUAGCAAUUAACCCGCCCUGUUCCGGCCACGCCCCUUAGCAACCAGCCCGCCCUGUUCCGGCCACGCCCCUUAGCAACCAGCCGCCCUGUUCCGGUCACGCCCCUUAGCAACCAGCCGCCCUGUUCGCUGCCCCAUGAGGGCGCAGGGACUCGCCCGCCCGCCACAUGUCCCGGCACCGAGGCUGGGCCCGGGUAACCGUGCAGGGGGAAUGGGCACUGUGGGGAGAACCGGGGACAACUAAACAACAAAUCACAAUAUUAUAACUACACAUCAAUAUAACUUCUCUUAACAUACACAUAAUAUUCAUCUCUUAAUUGUGAGAGCCUACCAUCGCAUUAUCUAUCUAUAACAAUCAGCAAAAUUUCUGCCAAAUUUUAACUCUGUAACUCCUUGUUAACAAGGAGGAAGGUCUUGCGUCUUGAGAACAGUACAAACUGCAGAGUUCAGAGCUCAUUUUGAACCUUUCCAGAACUCUCAUAUGUGGUCAACCAGAAGGAAUUUGAUUUGCAGCCUUCUUAUCCUGUUGGAAACCUUUUCAAAGAAACAUGCACAACACUUCCUGCAGAACCUUACCAGAUUCUGGUGCUGAUGGAAAGGAGGCAAGAAAGCUGGAUUAAAAUUCACCCUGUGCUCUCAGGCUCUGAGAUUCCCUGUGUAGCAAAGGUCAGUAGAAGGGUCCUUGCUAAUCCCUGCAGCUCCUUUGGCCUGUGCUGAGGGAUGGGGCAAUGUUGCUUGGUUGAAUAUUUGGUUGAAUGUUGUCCAUUCAACACCCUUUUGUCACCAUUUUCG